rnacentral:rRNA from 1 species
ACUCAAAGGAAUUGACGGGGACCCGCACAAGCAGUGGAGUAUGUGGUUUAAUUCGAAGCAACGCGAAAAACCUUACCAGGUCUUGACAUCGUGCGCAUAGCUAAGAGAUUAGUGAAGUCCUUCGGGACGCACAGACAGGUGGUGCAUGGUUGUCGUCAGCUCGUGUCGUGAGAUGUUGGGUUAAGUCCCGCAACGAGCGCAACCCUUACUGUUAGUUGCUACGAAAGAGCACUCUAACGGGACUGCCGUUGACAAAACGGAGGAAGGUGGGGACGACGUCAAAUCAUCAUGCCCCUUAUGACCUGGGCUACACACGUACUACAAUGGACAGAAACAGAGGGAAGCAAGAUAGCGAUAUGGAGCAAAGCCCUAAACCUGUUCUCAGUUCGGAUUGCAGGCUGCAACCCGCCUGCAUGAAGUCGGAAUUGCUAGUAAUCUCGAAUCAGCAUGUCGAGGUGAAUACGUUCCCGGGUCUUGUACACACCGCCCGU